CUGUCUACACCAAAGUGCAAGGGGGGAAUGGGUUUUCAUGAUCUUCAUAAUUUUAACUUGUCCCUGUUAGGGAAACAAGGAUGGCGGCUCCUAACAAAUCCCAACACUUUGUGUGCCAGAACUUUGAAGGGAAGGUAUUUCCCUGACACUGAUUUCAUGCAAGCUUCGGCUCCCAAAAAUUCAUCCGCAACUUGGAGAGCAAUUAUCUCUAGAAGGGAAGCGUUGCUUGCUGGUUUGAUCAAGAGAGUAGGGGAUGGGUCAACCAUUGCGGUCUGGGAUGAUCGAUGGAUCCCGUCAACCACCACGAUGACUCUGCUGUUUCGACCACCGAACACAAAUGUUUCCCGGGUUGAUGAACUGAUUGAUACUGAAACCUGGACGUGGAAGAGAUAGCUGGUGCGAGACACUUUUAUUUCACCAGAUGCGGAAGCUAUUUUGAACAUCCCGCUUCGCUCUGGAGGAGGAGAGGAUUUCUUCGCAUGGGCACACGAGCCCUCAGGCAACUACACCGUCAAAUCGGCGUACCGAGCUCUAAUGACUCAAAAAGAGCGUCAAGCUCUCGAGAAAGGGCAAGCUACCGGUCCUUCAACUGAUAAUCAACGGAUGUGGAAUGCCUUAUGGAAGCUAAAUGUGUUGCCAAAGGUCAGGGUGUUCUUCUGGCGGGUGCUUAGGGGCAUUUUGCCGGAUGAAAACACUCUUAAACACCGGCAUCUGAGAGAGAUCAGCACGUGUAAAAUCUGUUUGGCAAUGGAUGAAAAUCUGGAGCAUGCCUUGCUAAAGUGCUCUCAUGCACAACUAUUUUGGGAGGAGGCCCAGCAGCUGUUUGACUUCCGUAUGCCCAGCCUACAUCCAGUUACAUGGGCCCAAGAUAUCAUAUGUGAUGAUCGAUUUUCUUCCAGAGCCCGAGCCAUCAUUGUUUCUGUUAUGUGGUCGGUCUGA
rnacentral:rRNA from 1 species